UGUAAAAAGCUUGAUUUGGAUACAUAAAGUGUUGGAGAAUCACCAGGAAGUUGAAUAAAUCUCAUAGGAGUUGGGAUGAAUGAGUUAUCCCACUUUCAAAUCAGGUGAUUCCAGUUUCCCAGUUUGAGAAUAGGACAGCUUCUUCGUCGUUCCAAUCAAACCAGGAUGAAUCACUUUGUAAGAAGCUUGAUUUGGAUUCAUAAAGUGUUGGAGAAUCACCAGGAAGUUGAAUAAAUCUCAUAGGAGUUGGGAUGAAGAAGUUAUCCCACUUUCUAAUUAGGUGAUUCCAGUUUCCCAGUUUGGGAAUAGGACAACUUCUUCGUCGUUCCAAUCAAACCAUGAUGAAUCACUCUGUAAGAAGCUUGAUUUGGUGGAUACAUAAAGUGUUGGAGAAUCACCAGGAAGUUGAAUAAAUCUCAUAGGAGUUGGGAUAAAGAAGUUAUCCCACUUUCUAAUCAGGUGAUUCCAGUUUCCCUGUUUGGGAAUAGGACAGCUUCUUCGUCGUUCCAAUAACACCAGGAUGAAUCACUUUGUAAGAAGCUUGAUUUGGAAUCAUAAAGUGGUGGAGAAUCACCAGGAAGUUGAAUUAAUCUCAUAGGAGUUGGGAUGAAAGAGUUAUCCCACUUUCAAAUUAGGUGAUUCCAGUUUCCCAGUUUGGGAAUAGGACAGCUUCUUCGUCGUUCCAAUCAAACCAUGAUGAAUCACUCUGUAAGAAGCUUGAUUUGGUGACAUAAAGUGUUGGAGAAUCACCAGGAAGUUGAAUAAAUCUCAUAGGAGUUGGGAUGAAGAAGUUAUCCCACUUUCUAAUCAGGUGAUUCCAGUUUCCCAGUUUGGGAAUAGGACAGCUUCUUCGUCGUUCAAAUCAAACCAGGAUGAAUCACUUUGUAAGAAGCUUGAUUUGGAUACAUAAAGUGUUGGAGAAUCACCAGGAAGUUGAAUUAAUCUCAUAGGAGUUGGGAUGAAUGAGUUAUCCCACUUUCUAAUCAGGUGAUUCCAGUUUCCCAGUUUGGGAAUAGGACAACUUCUUUGUCGUUCCAAUCAAACCAGGAUGAAUCACUUUGUAAGUAUGAGGUUUUCAGAGUACCAGUACUUGAGUGAUGUAAGAACAGAUGAGAGAUUGUUGUAUGAUGAAGUAUGAAGAAUAGAAAUGAGUUUAAGAGAAUCAAAGAGAGUAUGGGAGAGACUGAGAGACUAGGAACGUGUAUGGGAGAUUAGAGAGAGACUUAGUAACAAGAUUAAGAGACUUAGUAACCAAAGAAUAAGAACCAAGAACAAGUUUAUGAAGAAGAGAGACUCUCUCAGCUUAAGGGUUUACAAAAUGAUCAUAAGAGGCUUAUAUAUGCCUUUACACAACUCAUAUCACAAACCUAGAUCCUAAGGCUGUAAUUAAAAGAUAGAAUGGAUGGUAAGGAUGAGAGAAGAGUGGUCUUUGAUGUUCUGGUGAUAGCUGGCGACUUUGGACUGAAUGGAGAGCUCAGAUUGCUUCAUUUGAAUGAAGGGAGGAGAUUGGUCUUGCUGUAAAGGUAAAGCACCUUUACCUUUCCAGCUUGCACAUACAGCUCACUCUGAUCCCUUUGGUAUAUUCCCUUUCCCUCUCACACUCUAACGGUCACUAUAGGAAAGGAUAGAAUUAGAGUGAACCGCCCUCACAUUGCACAUCUUGAUUUGGGCUGAACCGGAUGACUUGGGCGUGUGGAGUGGCCGUACGGUUGAUGGUACGGACCUCCUGUCCGUACCACUAUCCUGAACCGGAUGACUUGGGCGUGUAGAGUGGCCGUACGGUUGAUGGUACGGACCUCCUGUCCGUACCACUAUCCCUAACUAUGCACAUUGCCUUAUCUCUUUCUUGACUGAUCCCAAACACCUUCAUGAUUCACCCUAGACCGUACAAGGCCGUACUGAACGCCCUAUCUUUGCACCACUCUUCCAUCUUCUCUUCUAACUCCUCCAAAGCCUUCACAUGAUCAGUCUAAGUCUUUCCUAGACUUAACUUCACAAGAUAACUACUUCAGAACACUUCUGAAGCUUGAUUGAACUCUUCUAGACAUCUUCUAGAGCUUGCCCUAUUAUUGUACAAGCUCUAUCUUCUCUUCAGUUCAACACUCCCCCUCAAGCUUGACUUUAGGAGAUCCUAAGCCAAGCUUGGAACUCUGAAGAGUCUCCCUCAUUAAAAACCUUACAAGGAAAACCCAUUGGGACAAAACCUUGCAAGGGAAAAAGAGUAGAGCUCUCCAAAGCCUAGGGAUUGGCCAGUGAACUCUUGUGCCUUAGAACCAGUGUGGUUGGACACAAGAAGUUCUGGAUCACGGCCUAAACUGGUGCAGCAACUCCACAAGACUUUGCGCACUCAACAACUCAGCUUCACCUCUUCAUGGAACUGGUUUGAGGUCUCCCUCUCUCAACUGACUUCACAGCCUUCUUAGAGAAGCUAGGACACGACCAGAUCAUCUUCACAACACUAGUGAGGCUGAUCAACACUUCACACACGGCUUGCCCUCUUCAUAGAACUGGUUUGGAUCUCCCCCUCUCAACCGACUUCACAGCCUUCUUAGAAAAGCUAGGAAAUGACCAGGUUCUUCUUUGAUGAGGCUCAAGCCCUUGUACCUGAUACAUUAUCCCAAAGGUGCAUCAGUACUUAUCAAGAAAUAUCACACAAUCCAUUCAAUCAUUUUAAGUAUCAUUUCUAGACUUUAGAAUUGAAAUGAUGAAUGUAUUGAAUUGAAUUGAGCUUAGGACACUUCCCUUUGGUUUAGAUGAGUUCCCACUCGGCCAUUGCACCAUCUCCAUGGCAUCACCAGCUUCUUGGAAAGGCAGAAUGGAUUCAUCAGCUUCUCAUCAAUCACUUCACCAUAGAAGCCGCUUUGAUCAGUUCACCUUCACCCUUAGACUGCCUAGAAUAACUCCGGCUGAUGAUCCUGUGUAGGAGCCUUUGCAAAGACUUGUUACUGACCAUGGAUCAUAUGCAUUAAGACUCCCCCUCAAGCUUAGAACCGAGACCAGAAGGAGCUAAGCUUGUGAUGAUCAUAUGCAUCCCCAUGGUCUUAUAACUAUCAGUCUUUCAUGAUAGCUUUCUUCUUGUGAGUUUACUCUCUUCCUUAACCAGGAACUAGGGUGUUUGAAUCACCAUAGAGAGACUCACAAGACACACUUCUCAUUGCAUAAUGACCCAUGCUACACUUCCUGUAGUCUUUGGACUGGAUAUGUCCAAUGGUAUUAUGCAAUGGCCAUCUCUCAUUGCAUAAUCAAUCACACUACACUUCCUGUAGAUUAUGGACUAACAUGUCCUAGUGAUGAUAUGCAAUGGCACAAGACCUUUGUCUCUACAUUAUUGGCUGUUGGCGAGUUACAUGUAUCACUUUCCUUGUGUACCUAACACCACCACAACUCAAUGCAAGAUCAGAUCAUCCCAUUGGGAUCAAACCAAGAUAAUUCAUCCUGUUUGAUCACCAAUGCCACAGCAAUAUAUAAACCUUGAAACAAGCCAAUAAUCAAAGCAAGAACAAGCAGAUUUCAAUCUCUAAAAUGACAAUGCAAGCUUUACCAAUACAUUGACAAUUUAGGCUCAUUUUUAAAUGCAUCAAUACAUGAAUGCACAAUCCUAAAGCAUUAACUAUAUGAAUGCAACAGGUUCAAUCCAUGAGACAUAUUAAAGCUAUGCACAACAGUUUCAAUCAAAAUCAAUGAUGCAAACAACUUAGACAAUUUCUAAUUGAUGCUAGACUUUCAUUGAUGGAUUAAACAUAGGCAUUAGCAUCAGUACACACUCGGAUUGAACUUAGACAAUAUGAGACAUGCUUAUGUAUGCAAAACAGCUUUUCAAACAUGAUGCAAGCAGUAGAGACAUUCUACUCAAUUCUACAACACAUUCAUGAUGAUUCAAGCUAUGGCAACACACAAGACAAUGCAAUAACAAGACAUGAGAUUCUGGGACUCUAGACACCACUCACAGCACAAUAAAUAAAGACACAAGCUCUUAUUAAGGGUUAGGAGGUUUGCUUACAAACAAGAGAUCCGAGCUGAUCUCUUGAACCUCCAUGGACACGGUUCACUUGAACUUGGCAGGUUUGAGGCUUGGAUUCAGUAUCCAACACCUCUCCUUGGUGUGCCCAUCCCUUUUGCAAUGCUCACACUUCAGGCCUCUCCUAUCCCCCUUCUUGUAAGCCGCCUUGUUUGGCUGAGAGCUUCUUUCAGCUUGAGAAGCAAAGGAGAGUGUUUCCUUUGUUCCAAACAACCCGAUUGAUCCCUCCUCCUUUUGGACUUGGGAACACACUUCUUCAAGUGUUGGGAGCUUCUCAGACCUCAAGAUAUGUUGAAUCAAGGCGCUGUAGGCAGGGCUGAGGGUUAGUAAUAGGCCAAACACCUUGUCUUGCUCCCUUCUUUCAAUCAACACCUCCGGAUCAACAGAUUGGGGUCUAAGCAUCUCUAGCUCAGACCAAAGGGCUCUGAACUUGCCUAGAUGCGCAGUGAACUCCUCAUCUUCUUGGGAUAGGAUGUUGAUGGACUUCUUGAUCUCAAAUACUCGGCUGAUGUUGGAGAUGUUCCCAUAUAUCUUGUUAAGUGUACUCCAAAGGUCUUUAGCACUCUCACAGUAUGAGUAUGCUUCAAGGAUGAAUGGAGACAGUGAGCUAUGGAGAAUGGAUAAGACCUUGAGGUCUUCUUGUUCCCACUUCUCCUCAGAUACAGAUUUGGAACCGGAUUCACCAUCUGCUGAGCUUUCAUUUGAACCGGCAGCCUUGGAGAGCUUUGGAGCAUCCGUGAGGCAAUGGCUCCAUAAGCCUCUCCCUCCUAGAGCUGUCUUCACCAUGCGUGACCAGAGAAGGUAGUUGGGACCAUUGAGAGUAACAGCAAUGACAAUGGUUCUUUUGGACUCCAUGUUGAAGCCGGAUGAACAAGACUGUCAAAGAACUCUUCAAGGUAGAAGCUUGGGACAAGGUGAGCUGAAUCUUCAAGGGCGUGAGCUUGGGAGCUUGUGGAUGUAGCGGAAGUCUUCACCAGGAGUCUGAGCAACCUGGCUCUGAUACCAUAUGAGGUUUUCAGAGUACCAGUACUUGAGUGAUGUAAGAACAGAUGAGAGAUUGUUGUAUGAUGAAGUAUGAAGAAUAGAAAUGAGUUUAAGAGAAUCAAAGAGAGUAUGGGAGAGACUGAGAGACUAGGAACGUGUAUGGGAGAUUAGAGAGAGACUUAGUAACAAGAUUAAGAGACUUAGUAACCAAAGAAUAAGAACCAAGAACAAGUUUAUGAAGAAGAGAGACUCUCUCAGCUUAAGGGUUUACAAAAUGAUCAUAAGAGGCUUAUAUAUGCCUUUACACAACUCAUAUCACAAACCUAGAUCCUAAGGCUGUAAUUAAAAGAUAAAAUGGAUGGUAAGGAUGAGAGAAGAGUGGUCUUUGAUGUUCUGGUGAUAGCUGGCGACUUUGGACUGAAUGGAGAGCUCAGAUUGCUUCAUUUGAAUGAAGGGAGGAGAUUGGUCUUGCUGUAAAGGUAAAGCACCUUUACCUUUCCAGCUUGCACAUACAGCUCACUCUGAUCCCUUUGGUAUAUUCCCUUUCCCUCUCACACUCUAACGGUCACUAUAGGAAAG
rnacentral:lncRNA from 1 species